rnacentral:rRNA from 1 species
AGAGUUUGAUCCUGGCUCAGAGUGAACGCUGGCGGCAGGCCUAACACAUGCAAGUCGAACGGCAGCACAGCAGUAGCAAUACUGUGGGUGGCGAGUGGCGGACGGGUGAGGAAUGCGUCGGAAUCUGCCUUUUUGUGGGGGAUAACGUAGGGAAACUUACGCUAAUACCGCAUACGACCUACGGGUGAAAGUGGGGGACCUUCGGGCCUCACGCAGAAAGAUGAGCCGACGCCGGAUUAGCUAGUUGGCGGGGUAAAGGCCCACCAAGGCGACGAUCCGUAGCUGGUCUGAGAGGAUGAUCAGCCACACUGGGACUGAGACACGGCCCAGACUCCUACGGGAGGCAGCAGUGGGGAAUAUUGGACAAUGGGCGCAAGCCUGAUCCAGCCAUGCCGCGUGUGUGAAGAGGGCCUUCGGGUUGUAAAGCACUUUUGUCCGGAAAGAAAAGCUUCGGGUUAAUAACCUGGAGUCAUGACGGUACCGA